UCUCUGGUGGCCUACUGGUUUAGAGCAUCUGCUUCAGAUGCAGGAAGUUGUGUGUUCAAUCCCCAGCUGAGUCAUACCAAAGAC